GAUGAACGCUGGCGGCGUGCUUAACACAUGCAAGUCGAACGGAAAGGCUCCUGCUUGCCGGGGUACUCGAGUGGCGAACGGGUGAGUAACACGUGGGUGAUCUGCCCUGCACUUCGGGAUAAGCCUGGGAAACUGGGUCUAAUACCGGAUAGGACCACAAUUUGGAUGGUGUGGUGGAAAGUUUCGCGGUGUGGGAUGAGCUGGCGGCCUAUCAGCUUGUUGGUGGGGUAAUGGCCUACCAAGUCGUCGACGGGUAGCCGGCCUGGGAGGGUGUACGGCGACAAUAGGACUGAGGUACGGACCAGAGUCGUACGGGGGGCAACGGGGGGGAAUAUUGCACAAUGGGCGCAAGCGUGAGACGGCGGCGCCGCGUGGGGGAUGAAGGCCUUCGGGUGGUAAACUCCUGUCGCUUAGGACGAAGCGCAAGUGACGUUACCUGGAGAAGAAGCACCGGCUAACUACGUG
rnacentral:rRNA from 1 species